GACGAACGCUGGCGGCGUGCUUAACACAUGCAAGUCGAACGGUGAAGCGCCUUCCUUUUUGGUGGGUGUGGAUGAGUGGCGAACGGGUGAGUAACACGUGAGUAACCUGCCCCCUUCUUCUGGAUAACCGCAUGAAAGUGUGGCUAAUACGGGAUAUUCUGGGUCUGUCGCAUGAUGGGUCUGGGAAAGAUAUUGUUUCGGUGGGGGAUGGGCUCGCGGCCUAUCAGCUUGUUGGUGGGGUGAUGGCCUACCAAGGCGGUGACGGGUAGCCGGCCUGAGAGGGUGGACGGUCACACUGGGACUGCGACACGGCCCAGACUCCUACGGGAGGCAGCAGUGGGGAAUAUUGCACAAUGGGCGCAAGCCUGAUGCAGCGACGCCGCGUGAGGGAUGGAGGCCUUCGGGUUGUGAACCUCUUUCGCCAGUGAAGCAGGCCUGCCUCGUUUGUGGGUGGGUUGACGGUAGCUGGAUAAGAAGCGCCGGCUAACUACGUG
rnacentral:rRNA from 1 species